ACCCAGGGCUCAGCUAACACAGACAGUCAGCUGAAAUUGCCCAAAACACUGUUCCUCAGACAACAGGGACAGGCCCAGAGCUGGCAGUUUAUGUGACAGAGUCUUGCUAUGUUGCCUCGGUUGGAAUGCAGUGGCUGUUCAUAGACAUUAUCAUGCACACUACAGUCUCAAACUCCUGGACUCAAGCAAUCCUCCUGCCUCAGCCUCCUGAGUAGCUAGGACUACUGGGAUGCACUGCUGCUCCUGGCAAAUUAAGGAUUUUGAGAUGGAGAGACUAUCCUGGAUUAUCUGAUGGGCUUAAUCAUUGACAAAGGUUCUUAUAUAAGGAAAAGUCAAUGUGAUAAUGGAAGCAGAUUUGAAGAUGCUGUGCAACUGGCUUUGAAGAUGGAGGAAGGGGCCACAAGCCAAGGAUUGUUGGCAGUCUCUAAGCUGGAAGAGGUAAGAAGCAGAUUCUCCUGUGGCACGUCCGGGAGAAAUGCAGUACUGCCUAUACCUUGACUUUAGCCAAGUGAAACUAAUUUUAGACUUCUCACCUCCAGAACUGUAAGAUAAUAAAUCUGUGUUGAUUUAAUGCA